UACGUAGGGGGCAAGCGUUGUCCGGAUUUAUUGGGCGUAAAGAGCGUGUAGGCGGCCUGACAGGUCUGCUGUGAAAAACUCGAGGCUCAACCUCGAGAUGUCGGCGGAAACCGUCUGGCUAGAGUCCGGAAGAGGAGAGUGGAAUUCCUGGUGUAGCGGUGAAAUGCGCAGAUAUCAGGAAGAACACCUAUGGCGAAGGCAGCUCUCUGGGACGGUACUGACGCUGAGAGCGAAAGCGUGGGGAGCGAACAGG
rnacentral:rRNA from 1 species